AUGACCAGUAAGAAGGCCAGUAAAAGAACUUAGAUCUAUUCUAGAAAGUUCUAAAAGUUUACGAGUGUUUGAAACGUCCGGUAUUAUGAAACGUUUCGACUGCCUCGCAAAAGUGGUGUUUUCCCAAUUGGAUUUUAGUUUCUCAUGUUCCCAUGUUUUAAACUCUAUUCUGAGAGAACAACCAGACACACCACAAAAUGGUUCUGGUCCUAUGAAUUGAUGAGACGAUCCAAGUCUUGCUAACAUAUCGGCUUGUUCGUUUCCUUCAAUUCCGCAGUGCCCAGGAACCCAAAAUAGCUUCACCUGAUUGCGGCAAGCUAAUUGUUGAAGUGAUUGAAUCAAGGAAUUGGCAUCCCUAUUCAAUCCAACGUAUUUUGAUCGUAGCCAACAUAUCGCCGGCUCAAGCAUCCCCAGCGCACGGCUCAAGCUGACAACGUCGACAGCUGUCAAUAUUUUUCUUUGUUUGUUGUUUUGUUAUUGUGGUUGGUUUGAACGGGUUUCUCCGUUUUUUGAGGAACUUAGGAAAUUAUUGAAAACUCCAAUGUUAAAUAUCGGAAAUAUUAUUACAAUGCACAUUUUCUUUUACGUAUCAUACUGAGGGAUGGUGCAGCGGGUGUUGAACUGGCUCUCAAUUGAGGAUAAGAAUGCCCAGUUUAUUACCUCGAAAUGCAAGGCAUAUGUGAAUUUCAGCCCAGUUGGAGGAUAGGGAGAAUAAGCCCUUUUUUGCACAGAACCAGUAGCUGCGUUAUUUAGUGAACGGUGAGGAUCCUGUGGCACUCUGCGGUUAGGAUCCUGUGGCAACUGCAGAGGGAAACUACAUAUUCACUGACAGACCAGACAGAUCCAGAUCAUCCAUAUAUUUUCUAUAAAAAGAGACGGGAUUAUGCGGUUUGUGAUGCAAAAUACCAUGCGAGCAAAUAGAGCGCAUUUAGCCCCCCAGCUGCAAUGUCGUGGUCGCUUGUCAUGCAUUGCAGACGGCGCGCACGACAUUGAAGAGGGGGCUCAAUGCGCUUUAUCUACUCGCAUUCGAAAUACUGUUGUGAAUUAACCCAAAUUACUCGUUGAAAGAUUUACUGUUUGGUGACAUUAAACAACCCAUAACAACACUCAAAA